AAAAAUCCUUCCAUCUCAAGUAAGGGGAUUGUGCUUAUUAUAUUUUAGCAAGAAUUUUGUAACAAGUAUGCACCUAAAAGAGAGAGAAAAAAAUAGUUUUCCUUGGAAAAAGAAGGGAAGAAAUCUUUCCCCCAUUGAUAAGGGCCAGAAAGGGUUCAAACCUAGAACCACAAAACUAUAGAAAAUAAUUCUAUGGGGAACUUCCUUUGGCUGUGUUAAAUUGUA
rnacentral:lncRNA from 1 species